CCUACGGGCGGCAGCAGUGAGGAAUAUUGGUCAAUGGACGAGAGUCUGAACCAGCCAAGUAGCGUGAAGGAUGACUACCCUAUGGGUUGUAAACUUCUUUUAUAUGGGAAUAAAAUGUUCCACGUGUGGGAUUUUGUAUGUACCAUAUGAAUAAGGAUCGGCUAACUCCGUGCCAGCAGCCGCGGUAAUACGGAGGAUCCGAGCGUUAUCCGGAUUUAUUGGGUUUAAAGGGAGCGUAGGUGGAUUGUUAAGUCAGUUGUGAAAGUUUGCGGCUCAACCGUAAAAUUGCAGUUGAAACUGGCAGUCUUGAGUACAGUAGAGGUGGGCGGAAUUCGUGGUGUAGCGGUGAAAUGCUUAGAUAUCACGAAGAACUCCGAUUGCGAAGGCAGUUCACUGGACUGCAACUGACACUGAGGCUCGAAAGUGUGGGUAUCAAACAGGAUUAGAUACCCGUGUAGU
rnacentral:rRNA from 1 species